rnacentral:rRNA from 1 species
AGGAAUGUAUAGCAAUAGCUAGUUGCAUCAUUAUAAUGAUGAUGCAAUAUUGACUAUGUUGAAUAAAAUUCUAGGUAGAAUUAUGAUAAUGACAUUGUCUGCCUAUGUGUCUUGACCAAAUUACGUGCCAGCAGUCGCGGUAAUACGUAGAAGACUAGUGUUAUUCAUGUUUAAUCGGUUUAAAGGGUACCUAGACGGCAGAUCAAGCUUUCCGAGAAGAAAAAAAAAAGAAAAAAGGACUAAUUUGCUAGAGUUACUUACGAGGGGGUUUUAAAGUACUGCUGGUGUAGAGAUGAAAUUCUGUCAUACCUCUUUUCGAAAGAAAAAUGAUGGCACAGGUAUAGGCGAAGGCAUCCCCUUAUGUGAUAACUGACGUUGAGGGACGAAGGCUUUAUAUAACGAACAGGAUUAGAUACCCCAGUAGUGGAAGCAGUAAAUGAUGAAUGUCAUAGAUUAGCUAGAUAGGUUCAUUCUAUAAAUGAAAGUGUAAGCAUUCCACCUCAUGAGUAAUUUGGCAACAUUGGAAUUGAAAUCAUUAGACCGUUUCUGAAACCAGUAGUGAAGUAUGUUGUUUAAUUUGAUGAUCCGCAAAAAACCUUACCACAAUUUGAAUAUUUAUAUUUUUUUUAUUGUUUUCUUAUUAAUUUUCUUCUCUUUAAUUUAAUAACAAAGUAUUAAAGAAAAGAGGAAAAUAUUUAAUGCAGAGGCAAUAAGAUAUAUUUACAAGCGUUGCACGGCUGUCUUCAGUUAAUGUCGCGAGACUUUGGUUAGAUCCAUUAAAUUAACGUAAACCCUUACUUUAUUUUUAGAUAGAGUUGUUCCCCACUAUAUUGGAUAAGAU